rnacentral:rRNA from 1 species
GAUGAACGCUGGCGGCGUGCCUAAUACAUGCAAGUCGAGCGGACGGACCAGAAGCUUGCUUCUCUUAUGUUAGCGGCGGACGGGUGAGUAACACGUGGAUAACCUACAUAUAAGCCUGGGUUAACUUCGGGAAACCGGAGCUAAUACCGGUUAAUAUUUUGAUCCGCAUGGUUCAUAAGUAAAAGACUGUCUUGCUGUCACUUAUAGAUGGAUCCGCGCUGCAUUAGCUAGUUGGUAAGGUAACGGCUUACCAAGGCAACGAUGCAUAGCCGAGCUGAGAGGGUGAUCAGCCACACUGGAACUGAGACACGGUCCAGACUCCUACGGGAGGCAGCAGUAGGGAAUCUUCCACAAUGGGCGAAAGCCUGACGGGACAACGCCGCGUGAGUGAUGAAGGUCUUCGGAUCGUAAAACUCUGUUAUUAGGGAAGAACAUAUGUGUAAGUAACUGUGCACAUCUUGACGGUACCUAAUCAGAAAGCCACGGCUAACUACGUG